GGGAUGUCUGCAUAUUUUUAUACAUUUAUUUAUUACUGGCAUUUAUAAAGCGCCAACAUAUUCCGCAGCGCUGUACAAUAUAAAGUUGUCAAAUAUGAAUGUGUUUUUAGAUGUUUUCAUGCCUGCAGAGUCCAAUUAAUAAAUUAAUUAAAGUUACUUUAUGUGGCUUUUUUUGGGGUGCAGGGUGCGCCUUAGAACUGGGAGAGGAGACAAGUGAGCGGCGUUUCGCCCAGAGCUGAAUUCAAGGUACCUUUUAACCUACAAUAUAUUAAAACAUUUAUUGAACUACAAAUGCAACAAAGGGGACCUAAAUAUAGAGUCUAUAUAACACAAUGAAUUUAUUAUUAUACAUUGUACAAAGUUGCGGUGGAGUAACCCUUUGAAUGGUGUGUGAAACUCCAUGCUGUAUUCCCUCCUAGAAAUUCAGGAUUACAACCCUGAGACUUUAAACUGCUAUUCUAUGUUUUGCUUCUAGAUCUUGGCAACUAAAUAUGGACGCUGCUAACAAUGUUGUAAACUACAACCAAUGCCUUAUCAAAUAUAAAUCAGAGAAACCUUAGAGGGAUGGGACUCUCUUGGCAUCAUGCCAGCUCUGACCAGCUAUGGCGUCCACAUCAAACCAUUCCUUCUGGGUAUGCAUUGACUGAAUUGUGUACUACUAAGGAUGUCCAAAAGAUUGUUCCCCAGCUCUUGCAGAAAUACAACUCCC
rnacentral:lncRNA from 1 species